rnacentral:rRNA from 1 species
UACACAUGCAAGUCGAACGGCAGCACGGACUUCGGUCUGGUGGCGAGUGGCGAACGGGUGAGUAAUACAUCGGAACGUGCCUAGUAGUGGGGGAUAACUACUCGAAAGAGUGGCUAAUACCGCAUGAGAUCUACGGAUGAAAGCAGGGGACCUUCGGGCCUUGUGCUACUAGAGCGGCUGAUGGCAGAUUAGGUAGUUGGUGGGGUAAAGGCUUACCAAGCCUGCGAUCUGUAGCUGGUCUGAGAGGACGACCAGCCACACUGGGACUGAGACACGGCCCAGACUCCUACGGGAGGCAGCAGUGGGGAAUUUUGGACAAUGGGCGCAAGCCUGAUCCAGCAAUGCCGCGUGCAGGAUGAAGGCCCUCGGGUUGUAAACUGCUUUUGUACGGAACGAAAAGCCUGAGGCUAAUAUCCUCGGGUCAUGACGGUACCGUAAGAAUAAGCACCGGCUAACUACGUGCCAGCAGCCGCGGUAAUACGUAGGGUGCAAGCGUUAAUCGGAAUUACUGGGCGUAAAGCGUGCGCAGGCGGUUUUGUAAGACAGUGGUGAAAUCCCCGGGCUCAACCUGGGAACUGCCAUUGUGACUGCAAGGCUAGAGUGCGGCAGAGGGGGAUGGAAUUCCGCGUGUAGCAGUGAAAUGCGUAGAUAUGCGGAGGAACACCGAUGGCGAAGGCAAUCCCCUGGGCCUGCACUGACGCUCAUGCACGAAAGCGUGGGGAGCAAACAGGAUUAGAUACCCUGGUAGUCCACGCCCUAAACGAUGUCAACUGGUUGUUGGGUCUUAACUGACUCAGUAACGAAGCUAACGCGUGAAGUUGACCGCCUGGGGAGUACGGCCGCAAG